AUAAAGCCUCCCUCCCAGUUUUUGGUGUUCUUGAUGAUUUGGAUCCCAGGCAUAAUAUUUAGCAUCAAGUUGACCCAAUCCCCAUCCUACUCAUCUGCAUAUAUAGAGGAGAGAGUCACUAUUAAUUGCAUGACAAGUUAGGCGAUUACUAUAUCAUUAGCUUGAUAUCAGCAGAAACAAAGAAAUGCUCCUAAACUCCUCGUACAUCACACAUUCAGGUUGAAAUCAGGGGUUCUUUCAAGGGUUAGAAGUAGUUGAUC